CCUCUCAUGGCGUAGUGGUAACGCGCCCCAACUAGAUAUUGGGGAGUCGUGAGUUCGAUUCUCAUUGAGAAGA
rnacentral:tRNA from 1 species